ensembl:misc_RNA Metazoa_SRP Metazoan signal recognition particle RNA
GCUGGGUGUGGUGACUCACACCUGUAAUCCUAGCACUUUGGGAGGCUGAGGUGGGUGGAUCACCUGAGGUCAGGAGUUCGAGACCAGCCUGGCCAACAUGGUGAAAUCUCAUCUCUA